GGGUCUAUGGUGACAACGCAAUGUCACGAAGACAGGUGAUGACAAAAAAAUCAUUCUUGUUAGGAUUAUGCUGAGGCCC